rnacentral:rRNA from 1 species
AGUGGCGGACGGGUGAGUAACGCGUGAGAAUCUGCCUUGGGGUCGGGGACAACCACUGGAAACGGUGGCUAAUACCGGAUAAGCCGAUUGGUGAAAGAUUUAUUGCCCGAAGAGGAGCUCGCGUCUGAUUAGCUAGUUGGUGAGGUAAGAGCUCACCAAGGCAGCGAUCAGUAGCUGGUCUGAGAGGACGAUCAGCCACACUGGGACUGAGACACGGCCCAGACUCCUACGGGAGGCAGCAGUGGGGAAUUUUCCGCAAUGGGCGAAAGCCUGACGGAGCAAGACCGCGUGAGGGAGGAAGGCUCUUGGGUUGUAAACCUCUUUUCUCAGGGAAGAAGCUCUGACGGUACCUGAGGAAUCAGCCUCGGCUAACUCCGUGCCAGCAGCCGCGGUAAUACGGAGGAGGCAAGCGUUAUCCGGAAGUAUUGGGCGUAAAGCGUCCGCAGGUGGCGAUUCAAGUCUGCUGUCAAAGCACGGGGCUUAACUCCGUAAAGGCAGUGGAAACUGAAUAGCUAGAGUGCCGUAGGGGUAGAGGGAAUUCCCGGUGUAGCGGUGAAAUGUGUAGAGAUCGGGAAGAACAUCGGUGGCGAAAGCGCUCUACUGGACGGCAACUGACACUCAGGGACGAAAGCUAGGGGAGCGAAUGGGAUUAGAUACCCC